rnacentral:rRNA from 1 species
UACGUAGGGGUCGAGCGUUGUCCGGAGUUACUGGGCGUAAAGCGUGCGCAGGCGGCUUGUUGCGCCCGGCGUGAAAGCCCCCGGCUCAACCGGGGAGGGUCGUCGGGGACGGGCAAGCUUGAGGGUAUCAGGGGCUGGUGGAAUUCCCGGUGUAGUGGUGAAAUGCGUAGAGAUCGGGAGGAACACCCGUGGCGAAGGCGGCCAGCUGGGAUACACCUGACG